GGAGGGCUGCUGUGGUGUUGUUGUCAAAGAGCUGUAGCCACUCCCUGAGGGGAGGGAGUUGGAGGUUGGUAAACCCAGAGAGGGGGUGAAGCCAGAUGUGUAGGAAGAAGCCCAGGGAAACACCAGCAAGAGGUGGGACUGUGGCUGCUUGUUAUAGGAUCCCUGGGCUACAGCCUAGUAUAGAGGGUGGGUCUGGGUUCCCUACCAACUACAAGGGAGUGGUGCAGAGAAUUGGAGGUGCCAGCCAGAUGGCAGGUCUGGAAAGAGUGUGAAUCCCUUAGAAGGGGAGGACUUUGUGGCUUAGCCCUCCAGUCAGGUCAUUAGAGGAUGCUGCACACCCAGGAGUGAGCAGAUCAGCAGAGAAAGACAAGAUGAGAGAUGACAACACAAGCAGGAGAGCUCAAGCUGGCAGAGCUAAUCCCAAGGACAGCUAGCAGCAGGUGCUAGGAAUUCAAGAUCCCCAUCCCCCUUCAAGUCUGAGGAGUCUUCAUUUAUUCUCCCUAUUCACUUCCCUCUCCUCUACAGUUCUAGCAUCACAGUCCUCCUUCCAGCAAAGGAAAGCUACAUAUUGCUGUCAGUUCUACUCCUUCUGACAGUCGGAGGGGGACCUUGGAGAGCACUGUGAAUUGCUCCUUCCACCCAGGGACAGACAUACUGCCUUCCUAGUUCUCCAGGAAUGAGUGAUCAAAUGAAGGACCCAAACUGAGAUCUUCUCUGUAGCAAACUAAUGGCCAGCUCAAACAUACUGCUGUUUCCUCUGUGUGCUCCUGACCAUCUUUAAUAGCCCUUGACAAUAACAGGGUUGUUUGGAACUGCUGCUUGCAUUCUCAGCUAGUGCACUCUGCCAACCUACAUGUGAAUAGUAGCUUGGAUUGCACCUUUACCACAGCCCUGAGUAAAGAGUGGAGGAUGAGCUAUACCCACCCCAGGAGUGCCACCAGUAGAAAUGGUGUUUCCAGAAACUCCCCUCUGAGGCACAGUUGUUCCAAUGCUCUCCUUUUGCACUGAGGAGGGACAUAACUUGCUACAACCGAUUACAACAUGCACCAUAUUUCCCCCUCACAUCCAGCUAGCACCAUGAGCCAGUGCACGGGAGAGCAAAACCAUGCCCACACCUCUCCAUGCCCAAUCCUAGUGACAUGCCCCCAUAACUUUACUCAGAUUGGGUUCACAGCCUUUCCUCUCUCUUUCUCCUGCCUUAAGAGCCACAGUCCAGAUGGAGCUGAAUGGGGAGCUUACUCUCUCCUAUGAAGCUAUGUGAGACCUAGCCACAUACCCCCCCCCCCCCCGGUGUACACUUUUGCAACCCCAAGACCAUGACACACAAUUCUGUAAUUAU